UCUGAGUGGCACAAGUCGAUCAAAUCAAGGCUUUUUGGCAAGCACCUAAUUUCCUGCUGGUCAAGUGUCACAAUCCCGUCUUCGCCCACGCCACGCUCCGCUCCUCCUUGGUACUUCCGGGUUUGGAAUUCCUGUUCCAGCACCAUGACCUGCUCUGUGGUGAACGCAGUGCGUCUGCGUUUGCGCAUCACCACCGGAUUCAGUCCAUCGGCUGAAAGAACGACUGAAAAGAAUAUUAUAGGUAAUCAGAUUAAAAAUAUAUAUUAAAAAAUUAACGCUUUUUAUUAAAAAUAAAGAUGAAACACUUUUAUUUUGAUAUGGUGACAUGCUGUUUUGGAGGUAAAAGAGGCCCCACCGCUGAUGCCGCUAAUGUCGUAUAGAAGUCCGGAGUCUGAAAUAACAUAAAUCAGUAUUUAAUUGAGAUUUUGAAAAUUUAAGACUUGAAUAAAUAGUAUUAUGGAGAAGAUGACGAAGAAGAUUUUUUCAAGUUAUUUAUAAAAUAUUAUGAAGAAGGUAUAUUUUACUGUUGUCUUGGCAGGCGUUGAUAAAUUGAAGAGAAAAACUUCCCAGUAGACCAAAUCAAGGUUUUUUGGCAAAC